CCUACGGGAGGCAGCAGUAGGGAAUAUUGCUCAAUGGGGGAAACCCUGAAGCAGCAACGCCGCGUGGAGGAUGAAGGUUUUCGGAUUGUAAACUCCUUUUGUUAGAGAAGAUAAUGACGGUAUCUAACGAAUAAGCACCGGCUAACUCCGUGCCAGCAGCCGCGGUAAUACGGAGGGUGCAAGCGUUACUCGGAAUCACUGGGCGUAAAGAGCGCGUAGGCGGGAUAGCAAGUCAGAUGUGAAAUCCUAUGGCUUAACCAUAGAACUGCAUUUGAAACUGUUAUUCUAGAGUAUGGGAGAGGUAGGUGGAAUGCUUGGUGUAGGGGUAAAAUCCGUAGAUAUAAGGAAGAACACCAGUGGCGAAGGCGGAUUACUGGACGGUAACUGACGGUGAGGCGCGAAAGCGUGGGGAGCAAACAGGAUUAGAUACCCGUGUAGUC
rnacentral:rRNA from 1 species